rnacentral:rRNA from 1 species
CGGCGGACGGGUGAGUAACACGUGGGUAACCUGCCUGUAAGACUGGGAUAACUCCGGGAAACCGGGGCUAAUACCGGAUGCUUGAUUGAACCGCAUGGUUCAAACAUAAAAGGUGGCUUUUACCUCCCCCUUCAGAAGGGCCCCCCGGCCCAUUACCUAUUUGGGAAGGUAACGGUCCCCCAAGGCAACAAUCCUAACCCAACCUAAAAGGGGGACCGGCCCCCCGGGAACGAAAAACCGGCCCAAAUCCCUACG